CCUGGGCUCUGAGAGUUCGGAGUUUGGUCCACAGGGCGGGCUUCAGGGGUUCCAGAACUGCCCGACACAGGGCCACCUCCACCGCGGGGCCUGAGGGACGUGUGGCAUAUGAGGACAGUGCUGUGGUGGUGACCCGCCCUACUCACCCCGUCUCCUGUGCAUGGGGAGUGUCUGAACACUCCAAGGAUGGACGAGUCCAGCCGGCCAUGCACGUGCUAAGUGGAGCUACGAAGCGGUAGCUACAUGAAGUAAUUCUGGAGAUCCGUGAGGAGCUGGCGCACAUCCUGAAGCAGCUCGGUGGCCGGAUCCCCGGGCCUGUAGGGAUUUCCAGAAUUUGAGGUGAGGCGCGCCCGAAGGCAUCGGUACUGCCUGGCCACAUAGCUGCUCCGGGCCCUGGCCAGAGCACGGAUGUGGGCAGUGAGCAGGUCUUCGCGGCUUUCCUCCUCGUCUCUGCAAUUAGCGUUGUUCGAAUCCUCCUCCUCUUCCACCACACCAGCUAGAGCAGGCCCAGGAUGGUGCGCUUCCCGGCCAAGGUGAAGAGAGUCUGGUCCAGCAUGAUGCACUUCCGGUCUCAGGGGGUCCUCCACCCAGGAGACCCGAUGUGGGGUGGGCUUCCUAGGGGCUGCAUGGGAGAAGCAGGUUGGGUCUCCUCUCGCCAUUUCCUGGUCCCUCCGGGUACCCAGGCCCCGCUCAGCUGACCUAGGCUGAAUUUCUGGGCAGCCGCUGGCUCUGUUUGCUGCGGAGCCUGCACCGUCCCCCCAGCCUCCGUGCGUCUCCAGGUAGAGCUGGUUCACCACAGACAGUACCCUCCCCGAGGUGUUGACCUGGAUGCAGCCAAGUCGCAGAGGAUCUGAGGACCAGCAGAAGAGACAAGAAAUCCAGGUGUGGAGCGGGCAACAGGGGUUUCACCCCUAGCCUUCCUCACUCAGGACCGAGAAUGCAGUUCCAGGUCCCAGGGCCUCCAGCUCUACCCUGUUUAGACCCAGAAGUGGUCUUAUCCCCUCCUGCCACAGCUACUAUUGAUUCUCCUCCUCCCCCUCCUCCCCCUUUCCCUCCCCCUCCUUCUUGGUUUUUUUGAGACAGGGUUUCUCUGUGUCGCCCUGGCUGUCCUGGAACUCACUCAUGUAGACCAGGCUGGCCUCGCACUCACAGACCCGCCUGCCUCUGCCUCCCGAAUGCUGGGAAUAAAGGCGUGCACCACCAACGCCCGCCCCACCCCAGCUUCUCUUCAUUCCUGCCCCAA